GGUGAAUCCCGGAGGUAAAAUACCAUUAUCAGAAAGGUCAGAAUCUGUGGAUCCCAUCCCAUCCCAUCACUGUACAUGGCAAACUCACUACAUAUAUCCAAGAGAGAGUCCUUUAUGCAUCACAACUAGCCGUGUGAAUGAACCUCUAGGCCUAUCUUGUUCUUGAUAAUAAUGCGCAGGGCACCAGUACAGGUGCAUAACACGCAUAUUUGUGUUGGCUGUUGGGGGGGCAGGGAUGCAUGUAUUUAGGCCUAAGGUUGUCAAUUAGUGUAUUUCAGAUGUGGAACAACAGCGAAGGUCACGAGGAAGCAAGGAAAAGAAAAGAAAGCAGAGGUGUCCACACGCGGGACACUUGUCCUUUUACAGAACCCACCAAUAUUUCCGCCUGCGGGUCAGUUGUCCUUUAGGGGUUAAGCAACUCUAGUCAGGAGUACAUUUGCCUUAAUACACCUGUGUUUCCUUGCUCCUCCUUUUCCUAACAACAAAAAUGUCCCCAAAAUUAUUACAGGCAAACCUUACUUAAUGAAUAGGUUAUGAUCUUGAGAAACCGUUUCCCAGCCAAAUAUUCAUUGCUUGAAGCAAUUAUUACAGGGGUUCAAUGGAGUUUGAUUCCAUGAUCUCAAUUUUUCCCCAUCUAAACCUUUCUUUUUCUAUAUUUGCUAAAUCUUCCUUCAGUAUUUUAAUACAGGUAACUCUCGAUUUACGCGAGUAUUGUGUCCUUGAAGAGGUCGCGUAAAUCAAAAACAAUGUAAAUCAAACAAGAGGUAGGUUUCUAUCAAAAAAUAAAUAUUCACUUCAUUCAGUGGAGAGAGAGAGAGAGAGAGAGAGAGAGAGAGAGAGAGAGAGAGAGAGAGAGAGAGAGAGAGAGAGAGAGAGAGAGAGAGAGAGAGAGAGAGAGAGAGAGAGAGAGAGAGAGAGAGAGA